rnacentral:rRNA from 1 species
GUGCCUACGGGGGGCAGCAGUGGGGAAUAUUGCACAAUGGGGGAAACCCUGAUGCAGCAGCGCCGCGUGAGUGAAGAAGUAUUUCGGUAUGUAAAGCUCUAUCAGCAGGGAAGAAAAAAGACGGUACCUGACUAAGAAGCCCCGGCUAACUACGUGCCAGCAGCCGCGGUAAUACGUAGGGGGCAAGCGUUAUCCGGAUUUACUGGGUGUAAAGGGAGCGUAGGUGGCAUGGCAAGCCAGAAGUGAAAACCCGGGGCUUAACCCAGCGGAUUGCUUUUGGAACU